AAAGUUACUUCGGUACAUCGGUGACAGGUGGUGCAUGGUUGUCGUCAGCUCGUGUCGCGAGAUGUUGGGUUAAGUCCCGCAACGAGCGCAACCCCUAUUGUUAGUUGCCAUCAUUCAGUUGGGCACUCUAGCGAGACUGCCGGUAAUAAACCGGAGGAAGGUGGGGGAUGACGUCAAAUCAUCAUGCCCCUUAUGACCUGGGCUACACACGUGCUACAAUGGUUGGUACAACGAGUUGCGAGUCGGUGACGGCGAGCUAAUCUCUUAAAGCCAAUCUCAGUUCGGAUUGUAGGCUGCAACUCGCCUACAUGAAGUCGGAAUCGCUAGUAAUCGCGGAUCAGCACGCCGCGGUGAAUACGUUCCCGGGCCUU
rnacentral:rRNA from 1 species